rnacentral:lncRNA from 1 species
CAAGGCAGGUGGAUCACAAGGUCAGGAGAUCAAGACCAUCCUCCUGGCUAACAAGGUGAAACCCUGUCUCUACUAAAAAAAAUACAAAAAAUUAGCCGGGCGUGGUGGCAUGUACCUGUAGUCCCAGCUACUCAGGAGGCUGAGGCAGGAAAAUCGCUUGAACCCAGGAAGUGGAGGUUGCAGUGAGCCAAGAUCAUACCACUGCACUCCAGCCUGGGCGACAGAGGGAGACUCCGUCUCAAAAAGAAAAAAAGCAAUAAAUGCUCUUCCAGAAAACUCAAAAAUGAAGAUAAGCUAAAAGAAAAUGGAAAGCACCAGAAUACCAGAAUCUUUCCACUCACUGAUGAUCAGAGUUAAUACCUCAGUGUCUUCUGUGGCUUCAGCGUCACCUAGUGCAGGCUGCCAUUCAACAAACGCAUUGUCAACAGUCAACCAAAAGAAACCCAUUGGCCACCAUACCCUGAGGACUAACCCUGACACAGAUGCCCUUCCAGAUGCCCUCAAUAGUCUAACUGAUUCCAUCGCCCCAGCCUUGGGGGAGAAGCACUGCUGCCUAUGCACUCCAUUUACAGGGUUAUAGAGUGGAAAGUCCCACAAUCUUUUUCUUCUCUAUUUUCAGAAAAACGUUGACCUCUUGGCGAGAAUGCAAAGAAGGGAACGCUUGCUUAUACGCUGUUGGUGAACUGUCACCCCUACAACUCAGCUUGCAACCAGCCCUGGCCACCAGUUUCCCCACACUGAGCUGAAUAUCGGACAUGCCCAUCUCAGACAUUCCAGCCCAUUCUGAAAUUCCACAUCGAUUCACCUGACAAAGUCUGAAGUUCCAGGGCAAUUUAUCUGGAAAAGCUUACCUGGAAUCACGUGUCAUUUCAACCAACAACUGUUGAAGAGGACGUGGCAUUAAAACCAAGGGUAUCAAUUAUUUAUAAGGGCUGUGUGCUGGUUGGUCCAAGCAUCUCUCCUUCACGCCAUCACUCCUUUCAAGAGCUGCCUCUGUUUUCUAAUUUAGCACAGGAAUUUAGAUGCCCCUAAAUAAGUAGGCAUCCAGUAUCUGCCCACACCAGUUUUAGUGAGAGUACAUAUGGAGACACUACCACCACCCCUGCUCUCCUACUGCAUACCCCACCAUGCCAAAGCAUGGUGGCUCACACCUGUAAUCCCAGUGCUUUGGGAGGCCAAAGAGGAGGAACACUUGAGAUCAGAGGUCUGAGACGAGCCUGGGCAACAUAGUGAAACCUCAUUUCUACAAAUAAGUUAAAAUAUAUAUAUGUAGGGCAUAGUGGCACACACCUGUGGUUUCAGCUUUUCAGCAAGCUGAGGCCGGAAGAUCACUUGAGCCCAGGAGUUUGAGGAUGCAGUGAGCUAGGAUUAUGCCACUGCACUGUAGCCUGGGCAGCGGAGAGACCCCAUCUCUAAAAAGAGGAGAAGGAGGGAAAAUACUUCUCCUUCUCAGACCCAAAGUAAAAAGGUUUCUGGUCUCACACUGACCAGAAAAACAUUGAUAUUUACUUAAGCAAUAUUAAAAGGGUCACUGCUUUAGAACAGGAUUAAAGAGAAAGUAAAAUCAACAUUGAGAUAGGAGGACAGAGGCCAUCAACUGAGUUCUGAUCCCAAUGAAGACGAGAAAAGGCUACAACUAUCUAGGUUAAAUAUCUACUUGUCCUAGAAAAAGCCUUUUGGCAGCAACAUAAAAUUCAUACCUCUUAGUUUUUAAAUUCCUAUGGAUGCUGAAGCAAAUAACCACAAUUUGGGUGGCUGAAAGUAACAGAAGUUUAUUCUUUCCAGUAUUGGAAACCAGGAAUCUGAGAUCAAGUUGUGGGCAGGGCUGGACUCCCCCUGGAGGCUCUAGGGGGUGUUCCUUCCUGCCUCUUCCAGUUCUUGGUGGCUCCAGG